GAUGAACGCUGGCGGCGUGCCUAAUACAUGCAAGUCGAGCGAACAGACGAGGAGCUUGCUCCUCUGACGUUAGCGGCGGACGGGUGAGUAACACGUGGAUAACCUACCUAUAAGACUGGGAUAACUUCGGGAAACCGGAGCUAAUACCGUAUAAUAUAUUGAACCGCAUGGUUCAAUAGUGAAAGACGGUUUUGCUGUCACUUAUAGAUGGAUCCGCGCCGCAUUAGCUAGUUGGUAAGUUAACGGCUUACGAAGGCAACGAUGCGUAGCCGACGUGAGAGGCGGAUCGGCCACCCUGGAACGUAGACACCCUCCAUGCUCCUACGGGAGGCAGCAGUAGGGAAUCUUCCGCAAUGGGCGGAAACCUGACAGAACAACGCCGCGUGUGUGAUGACGGUCUUCGGAUCGGAAAACUCUGUUAUGAGGGAAAAACAAAUGUGUAAGUAACUAUGCACGUCUUGACGGUACCUAAUCAGAAAGCCACGGCUAACUACGUG
rnacentral:rRNA from 1 species